GCAGUGAUAGCUCAGUGUGUAUGGCAUUGGGCUACUGAUCCAAAGGACAUGAGUUCAAAUCCCAGCGGUGCA